ACGAUCAUACCACGUAGGAUACGCUAAUUCUAGUUCGAUCAUCGAAGUUGCCCAAGCAGCUUCAGGCACGAUUUGUAUUUGGAUGGGUUACCGCCUGGGAACAGCCCGUAAUG